GAAUUCCUGGUGUAGCGGUGGAAUGCGUAGAUAUCAGGAAGAACACCGACGGCGAAGGCAGCUUUCUGGUCUGUUACUGACCCUGAGGGACGAAAGCGCGGGUAGCGAACAGGAUUAGAUACCCUGGUAGUCCGUGCCGUAAACGAUGUACACUUGAUGUUGGGAGAUUUGAUCCUUUCAGUAUCGGAGUUAACGCGUUAAGUGUACCGCCUGGGGAAUACGAUCGCAAGGUUAAAACUCAAAGGAAUUGACGGGGGCCUGCACAAGCGGUGGAGCAUGUGGCUUAAUUCGAGGCAACGCGAAGAACCUUACCUGGGUUUGACAUAUACCGGACCGGGUGUGAAAACACCCUUCUCUUCGGAGUCGGUAUACAGGUGCUGCAUGGCUGUCGUCAGCUCGUGUCGUGAGAUGUUCGGUUAAGUCCGGCAACGAGCGCAACCCGUGUCGUUAGUUGCUAUCAGGUAAUGCCGGGCACUCUAGCGAGACUGCCCGUGUUAAGCGGGAGGAAGGCGCGGAUGACGUCAAGUCCGCAUGGUCCUUACACUCAGGGCUGCACACGUGCUACAAUGGGUGCUACAGAGGGUUGCGAGGUCGCGAGGCCGAGCGAAUCCCUAAAAGCAUCCUCAGUUCGGAUUGGAGUCUGCAAUUCGACUCCAUGAAGUCGGAAUCGCUAGUAAAGGCGCANCAGCAACGGCGCCU
rnacentral:rRNA from 1 species